UUUGACUCCUCCAGAAUCAGAGGAACGAGUUUCUUUUAAUUUGCUUGUUGCCAGCAGCAUUUAAACAAAAAAUUUUAAUGAUAACUUGAGGAGAACAGUUGCAGGAAAAUCUGUGGGACUGGAGCUUUUUCCGCAUUGUGUGGUAUCACCACGAGGCUUGGAAGAAGAGUAUAUAAGUGGACUCCUUGUGUUUGGAGUUUCAAAGCAUCAGACGUUUCUCUCCUUCAUCUUGAGAAGAUUAGAAGGAUCUGCAAGAUGAAUUCCGAAUACCUGUUCCCGGAGUUCUUUGAAGAGGCUGAGCCUUCCUUCUUUGAUGCUAUUGAAGAUCUCUCAAUGCAUACCAAAGGGGGUGUCUAUUGCCCCAGGCCAUAUCCUCCUUAUAAAUACAGACCACGCUACUGCCGCCCCAAAUAUCCCUGUCUACCUCCUUGUCCACCUCCUAGACCUCAGUGUCCAACUCCCUGCUAUCCUUUGUAUCCUCUGCCCCAAUGGCCCAGACCAUGUUACCCCUCCUACCCAUGCCAACGCUACCCACCUCAAUGGCUCUACCCCAAACCCUGUGGCCCCCAGAAACCCUAUUACCCUUACUGUCCUCCCUACUGGGGGCGCCCAUGCUACCCCAAAUGCCUGCCACAAUACCCAUGUGACUUCCUUGAGAUCUACUAGAGAAGAAGUCACUCCUCUUCUACCGUAGCAACGCCUUUGCCUCAGAUUUGUCCUGCCAAACUCUUUCCUCGGUUGAAUGUCUUGACCUCGGUUCCUGGGUACCUUCUGGAUUUUCCACCCCCCAAGUUCUAUUUCUGCUUGCAUUUUUGUUUUUUUUGUUUUUUUUUUCUUUCAAGGCCGACCAUGAGGUCGCUGUGCCACCUCAGGGCCACCAAGAGUCCCCAUAAGGUGGAGCUGCAUUAGGUUUCUGCCGAUUGAAGGACUGGGUAUGUUCAGGCAUGGUUUGAGAAAAGAGGAGAAGGAGAAGGAGUUGAAGGGAGAAGAAGAGGAAGAGAAGAAAGAACGUGAUUCGGGAUCAUCUCAUCCAAGAAAGAACUCAAAGGACUCCAAAGAUGACAGAGGACUGAGAAACCAAGAAAUUGCUUGUUUGAAGCAUCCAUGCCCAACGAAUGAGAAGAGACUAUUUGGGAGUGGGGGAAUCACAUUUAUUUUAAAACCUAUUUUUUUAACUCAUUGUACGCAGUGGCUCAGUAGCUAAGACACUGAGCUUGUCGAUUGAAAGGUCGACAGUUCAGCGGUUCGAAUCCCUAGUGCCGCGUAACGGGGUGAGCUCCCGUGACUUGUCCCAGCUUCUGCCAACCUAGCAGUUCGAAAGCAAGUAGAAAAAUAGGGACCACCUUUGGUAGGAAGGUAACAGCGUUCCAUUCCUAUUCUAGGAGGGAGUUUGAUUUCUCAUGUCUUCUGAAUGCUGGGACUGAAUUUGUGACUCUCAUGGCCUCUUUUUGCACGUUACCCCUGCUAAAUAUAUCUGAAAAACCAACUAUCUGCUCUUCAAAGGUGUCCUUUGUCAUCAAUAAAUCUGCUUUUCUCUGCAUAAA